UUCGUGUCCUCUGGAAGUAAAAUUGAUUCGUUAUGCGGUUUGAUAAAUUUUUUUCACUCAUGCAUUAGUUCUCCUUCAAGAUGUUUCGAUGAUGAAAUAAAAACUCUGACAAAAAGGAAGUUUUGUUCAUUCCGUCGUACAUUUCAAUUUAACAAUACUUCAGAAUUCGAAUCCUGUACCGAUUGGAAGAACGGUGAUAAAAUUUAUUAGACAUAUUUAGUUUUUACAGUGCUAUUUUGAUCGUUUUCACUAUAGAAGCAUUUGUAGCCACGAAUGAAGCUUGCAAUCAUUGAAAUACAUGGCCAAGUAUGACGAUUUUAACUCACCGUUAACGAACUCCCUGCCUAUGCUAAUCUGGCACUGAUUGGCCCAGCCUUGAGCAGCGGUAGCUAAUGCAUCGUCCCAUAUCUAUAGAAAAAAAAAACAACGAACAAAAAUAGUGAUUUAUUAACAAAAAAUAAUCUUCCAUCCAUGUGAAGUAGUUUUUUUUUUUCAUUUUAGGCUACCACAUGGAGCAUUACCAGGUCUUUCAAGUAUUUCGAUCCUGGCUGAGGCCCGGGAUUUCCACCUGUCUCACUCUUUUUCGCCACCCUCGAUCUUAUCCAAUUGUGAUAGUUGAGAAUCUGUUGUUUUUCGUGCUCGGAAAGUGUUGCCUUGUCGAUUUUUUUACCACAAACUGCCAGUGAUGCGGCUUCCCGUCCGGGCGAUUCUGUGGAUCCUGGCGCAUCAUUCAAUAUGGCAAAACGCUGAGAAUGAAAGAUGUUCAUUACCAAAAAUUUGUUCAACACUUGGUACAUUUCACGAUUGUUGCAGUCAUUGAGAACGACAUAAAACGAGGCGAGGAGAGAAACCAUUCUGAGGCAAUCCUGAGAUCAGAUGCUGACGGGUCCCCAGAGUUGGAAACUGCGCUGGGAGUGGGCAUUACCGAAUCAGAAAGAGAACGUAGGAAGCCAUGUGAUGAGGCUGCUCACGAGUCCACUCAUUCUAGAUAACCAAACGACGAAAAACUCAUCGAGCGUUUAUGACGACGUGGAUAAGCAAAUAUUGGGCGCAACAGUGGGCGACGCCGGUGAUGAUAAGGAGGAACGGAACGAACGAGAGUGUGAGAAAAACAGGAAAGAUGGAGCGAGGGAAAAAGAAACGCGGAAUAACGAAGAGAAAAGAAUCAACGAGGAGAAAGAGGAAAAUCACCUCAACGGAGUGCAACGACUACGGCGGUGUUCGUCCUUGAAAACUGAUAAAAGUCGACCGCUAACUCCAGGAACAAAAAAAAUAGUCCGCUUUGCGGAUGCUCUGGGCCUCGAUCUCGCAGACGUUCGAACCUUCUUCAAUGAGAUACCGAAGAUUCCAAACUCCGCCUACUCAGAUUUAAUUUACGACGAAAGAAUCUGUAAAAACAACAGUCCCGUGAAUCUUUGCGGACUAGCCCAUUUCACGACACCUUUGUACGCCGCCACAAUGCCACAGAGUCGUAUUCACGGGGUCAAACUCGACAGAAUAUUAGUGCCCUUAUUUCAACAAUCCGGCGGUUCACGAUCUUCUCUAGAGCUGGUCCGCGAACGACUAGUUUGUUUGGAAAAUGUCGUCGUCGAAGAUCCAAUAGACCUGGCCAUUCACGGCACCAUCAGAGUCCGAAAUCUCGAUUUCCACAAAUCCGUACACGUCCGUUACACCAUUGAUGACUGGCGGAGUUUCAGCGACCUGCAGGCCAUCUACGUUCCCAAUUCUUGCGACGGCUUCAGUGACAAAUUCAACUUCCAUUUAUACUGCAACACCCUGAAAAUUGGACAGAGAAUCGAAUUCGCGAUAUGCUUCGAGUGCAAGGGCUCAUGUUACUGGGACAAUAACAGCGGUGUUAAUUAUUGCUUUCAGUGCUUACCCGCCUCGUCGAACAAUACCGGUUACAUACCCAUCACAUCGCAUUUCAUACCCAAUUUUAAUGCUCUUGAUUGGUCUAUAACUUUUUACUAAAGCGACAACUUAUGACGCUGGCUUUUCCGGUACUAGAUCAAUUGGCAUUUUGAUUGUUAAUACCAUACGAAAGAAAAUAGAAAAUCCCAGUACCGAUCAUUUGAGGACACAUUUGAGGACACGAAUGAUCGUUUGACUUUCUAUGGACUUGUGCAAUAUUUUACAUCAAUAGCAUAGAAAUAUUAUUUUCUGGAAAUGAUGGAUUUUAAGCUUGUGGAAGAGACGAUCUUUGACGAUGAGUAUAAUAACAAUGAUAAUAAUCGAGAAAUUCUGAAAAAAUAAUAAUAAUCAUUUCUGAAAGUAUUAGAUAAUCACUACGAUGAUCAUAAAAACUGCAAUUUGAUAGAGUCAUGAUAAAUGUGAAAGAAACUAUGAGAAACAUUGGAAAGAUCAUCAAUCUUUUGCCAAUAAACGGUGAAGGUACAUUUUGAGGCUUCCAAUAAAAUUUCCGGGUAUACAAGAGAAACAACCGUAAAGCAAAUUCCCAUUUUUCUCAGGAAUUCGAACAGUUCCAUAAUCCACAAAUUACCUAAUGUCACAGGAAAUAAUGAGCUAUGUUAUCUCGAAGCACGUUCUUUUCCAACUCUUCGUUCACCGAUCAUCAAGGCUUCGGUCGCCAAAGUUUAACUUUCUAUUAAAUGAAUAUAUCUCUGUUGCGUGACUAACUGAUAAUUGUUGUAAGUUUCAUACACGUCUUUACAACGUGAUGAACUUUUUUUUGAUUAGGUUAAACUUUUCUGCGGCCACGAUGAAAUUUGAAGCCCGCAACUUUAAGCUCAAAUUGGGAAGUUUUGUUUAGCAAAAUACAGCAAUGUUGAAACUUCAUCAUAUCGACAAUGAGAGUUUCCUUAGGUAACUUUUUUCCCCCACUCCUAAAAUAAUGAACUCGUACACAUCUGUAUGUUACACGUGCGUCGAUCGAAACACAAAUGUUAUUAUUUAUUCAACAAUAAAACCAGAUUGUUUAUGUUUGUGAAUAUUACACUGUAUACGAAAUUAUAGUAAAUAAGUAGGACUAAUAAAAUUUUUUUAGAUAUAAUAGAAAAUUGUUGGCUGGUGACUUUUGUUAAGUCGUAUCUAGCAUUACACAAACGUUUACGUCUAUUUAUAUAUUUACAUUAAAAAUUUAUACUGCCUGAUCUUUGGGUUGUUCUUCCUUUUCCUUUUUCGUUCCUUUGUGUGUCGGAAUGUGAGGAUGAGAGCAGAUAGAUGAAGCGGGUAGACCGAGGAGCCCAGGUGAGAGGGAAGCGCUGAGGCGGUCAGCACACAGGUACCGUUUUAUCAGUUAGUCUAGAACCGAGGCUGGGGAUGAAGGGACGAGAGAGUUCCCGAACGUGUGUGAGCGGAAUAUAAGGCUUGCAUUCAAAAGGGAGAGUGCAGCUGGAACGCAUCAUCAAGUUUUUGUGGAGUCUAUGUGGUUGAACGUACUACGUCUGUGUGGUUGAAUCGAACGUCUGUGUGAAAAUUCUACUGUGGGCGUGGGAGUGCGUGGUAGCAGGGGCAGAUGGAUCUUCGUAGAAAAAUACAUUAGAAACCAUUUGACCCCACCUUUUUAAUGGCCGGCGCGGCCACCGGAUGACGCUACUGUCGACGGAUCAAUAUGAAAACGUCACCUAUGCUUCGCUCGCAGUGGGAAACACCUCACAUUGUAGUUUUACCUUCGUAGCCGGUUCACGAGUUUGAGUCCCCGUGAUAGCAGUGAUUUUUUUCAUCGUGCUUAUAAACUUUGUGCAUUUAUUUCGAAAUUUGUUGUAAUGUUCGGCCGAAAUCAACGGAAAUUCGUUGAUGUGUAUUUAUUUUUAGCGGUUCCUAUAUUUCAAUAAUAAAAAGAUCUCAUAAUUUGUGUUCUUUAAACCUGUGUGCAUUCCGUUAUUAUUAUUAUCCGUGACUAAAGAAACCGUCGACACCUGUCGUAGUCAAGAAAUAUGGGGCGGUGUAAAAAGUACACGUUGUUGACUUUUGGACGUAUUUGGUGAGCCUUGAUGUGGCCAACGAGGUGGAAUCAUCAAUUGACAAUCAAAAUUACACUCCAGAACAAAAUGAAACGCCGAAUGAUUUAAUCGAAUUCUAGUUAAGAUUAAAAGAAAUAUCCGACGAAAACACUCCAGGGGUGUAUACAAGAAUACUCCAUCCAGGGGUACUCCUGUCUCUCACGACUAUUUUGAUACUCGUCCGCGGUUGUAGUUUCUCAUCGUUUGCAGUCGAGGAAAAAUGUCUAAGAUGUAUGGUUUUGAUAUUAUUUCACCACCGAGGAGUCCGGAGAGUUUCCAAACUAUGUUGAUCAAAAUCUUGGCGGAGAAUUAUGCAUCGGAGAUUGUGGUGCUGCUUUGUUAUUUAUAAUAGUUAAGAGAAAGUUGUUUUUAUCUUUAAAUAAAUGUACUUAUUGUUCAUGGCUA